AGAGUUUGAUCAUGGCUCAGGAUGAACGCUAGCUACAGGCUUAACACAUGCAAGUCGAGGGGCAGCAUGUUGGUUGCUUGCAACCAACGAUGGCGACCGGCGCACGGGUGAGUAACGCGUAUCCAACCUACCCUUGUCCAUCGGAUAACCCGUCGAAAGGCGGCCUAACACGAUAUGCGGUUCACGGCAGGCAUCUAAGGUGAACGAAUGUGAAGGAGAAGGAUGGGGAUGCGUCUGAUUAGCUUGGUUGGCGGGGUAACGGCCCACCAAGGCUACGAUCAGUAGGGGUUCUGGAGAGGAAGGUCCCCCACAUUGGAACUGAGACACGGUCCAAACUCCUACGGGAGGCA
rnacentral:rRNA from 1 species